AUGGUGUUUAUUGUAUCACUGUGGUACACAUUCGGUGGAGGAACUAAACUGGUGCUCGCUGGUCCCACAGUGAAGCCCUCAGUGUCUCUGCUGCCGCCCUCUUCUCUGCAGAUCUCUGGAGACUCAGCCGCACUGCUCUGCCUGCUCAGCUCUUACUCUCCACAGGGGGCGCUGGUGAGCUGGACACUGGACGGGUCAGAGGUCACCGAGGGGGUCGUGACCAGCGCGGAGAGCCAGCGGGACGGCCGCUACAGCCGCAGUAGCGUCCUGACCCUCAGCAAAGCACGCUGGGAAGAGGGAGAGGUGUACGUCUGCAGAGUAACACAUGAUGGAGCUCCUCAUGAGGUCUCGUUCCACAAGAGCUCUGAGUGCUGAUGUUUCUCUCCUGAAGAUGAGCCGUAUCUGAGUGUCCUGUGUCAGGCAGGAUUCACAUGAGUCUAGUGCUGCAGCUGUAGUGAUUUACAACUCAAUACUGAAAGAGAGCUGGCGUGUCAAAGCACUGUGUGAUCUUUCAAUCUGCUGUAACAUUCAAUAAAGCUUCUCAACAAGUUCA